rnacentral:rRNA from 1 species
CUACGCACUCCUACGGGAGGCAGCAGUGGGGAAUAUUGCACAAUGGGCGCAAGCCUGAUGCAGCCAUGCCGCGUGUAUGAAGAAGGCCUUCGGGUUGUAAAGUACUUUCAGCAGUGAGGAAGGUGGGUAUGUUAAUAGCAUAUUCAUUUGACGUUAGCUGCAGAAGAAGCACCGGCUAACUCCGUGCCAGCAGCCGCGGUAAUACGGAGGGUGCGAGCGUUAAUCGGAAUUACUGGGCGUAAAGCGCAUGCAGGUGGUUUGUUAAGUCAGAUGUGAAAGCCCGGGGCUCAACCUCGGAAUUGCAUUUGAAACUGGCAAACUAGAGUACUGUAGAGGAGGGUAGAAUUUCAGGUGUAGCGGUGAAAUGCGUAGAGAUCUGAAGGAAUACCGGUGGCGAAGGCGGCCCCCUGGACAGAUACUGACACUCAGAUGCGAAAGCGUGGGGAGCAAACAGGAUUAGAUACCCUGGUAG